rnacentral:rRNA from 1 species
AAAGAUUAAGCCAUGCAUGUCUAAGUAUAAGCAUUUAUACGGCGAAACUGCGAAUGGCUCAUUAUAUAAGUUAUCGUUUAUUUGAUAGCACCUUCUUACUCGGAUACCUGUGGUAAUUCUAGAGCUAAUACGUGCUGAAAUGCUCGACUCACGAAGAGCUGUAUUUAUUAGAUUAAAAACCAAUGCCCUUCGGGGCUUUCUGGUGAUUCAUGAUAACUUCUCGAAUCGCAUGGCCUUGCGCCGGCGAUGGUUCAUUCAAAUUUCUUCCCUAUCAACUUUCGAUGCGAGGGUCUUGUCCUCGCAUGGUUUCAACGGGUGACGGAGGGUUAGGGCUCGACCCCGGAGAAGGAGCCUGAGAAACGGCUACUACAUCCAAGGAAGGCAGCAGGCGCGCAAAUUACCCAAUCCCGACACGGGGAGGUAGUGACAAUAAAUACUGAUACAGGGCUCUUUUGGGUCUUGUAAUCGGAAUGAGUACUAUUUAAAUCCCAUAACGAGGAACAAUUGGAGGGCAAGUCUGGUGCCAGCAGCCGCGGUAAUUCCAGCUCCAAUAGCGUAUAUUAAAGUUGUUGUGGUUAAAAAGCUCGUAGUUGAACCUUGGGCCUGGCUUGUCGGUCCCCCUCACCGGGUGCACCGAUCCAGCCGGGUCUUUCCCGCUGUGGAACCCCAUGGCCUUCACUGGUCGUGGCGGGGAAACAGGACUUUUACUUUGAAAAAAUUAGAGUGCUCCAGGCAGGCUAUGCUCGAAUACAUUAGCAUGGAAUAAUAAAAUAGGACGCGUGGUUCUAUUUUGUUGGUUUUUAGAACCGCCGUAAUGAUUAAUAGGGACAGUCGGGGGCAUCUGUAUUCAAUUGUCAGAGGUGAAAUUCUUGGAUCUAUUGAAGACAAACUACUGCGAAAGCAUUUGCCAAGGAUGUUUUCAUUGAUAAGGAACGAAAGUUAGGGGAUCGAAGACGAUCAGAUACCGUCGUAGUCUUAACUAUAAACUAUGCCGACUAGGGAUCGGACGAUGUUAUCAUUUGACUCGUUCGGCACCUUUCGAGAAAUCAAAGUGCUUGGGCUCCAGGGGGAGUAUGGUC